rnacentral:rRNA from 1 species
GUCGAACGAGUGUAGCAAUACAUUCGUGGCGAACGGGUGCGUAACACGUGGAUAACCUUCCUUCAGGUGGGGAAUAACCCCGUGAAAACGGGGCUAAUACCGCAUAACGAGUCGGGGACGCAUGUUCCUGCCUCCAAAGCCGCAAGGCGCCAGAAGAGGGAUGCGCGGCCGAUUAGCUUGUUGGCGGGGUAACGGCCCACCAAGGCAAAGAUCGGUAGCCGGACUGAGAGGUUGGCCGGCCACACUGGAACUGAGACACGGUCCAGACUCCUACGGGAGGCAGCAGUGGGGAAUCUUGCGCAAUGGGCGAAAGCCUGACGCAGCAACGCCGCGUGGGGGAUGAAGCUUCUCGGAGUGUAAACCCCUUUCGACCCGGACGAAUGCCCGCAAGGGCUUGACGGUACGGGUAUAAGAAGCCCCGGCCAACUACGUGCCAGCAGCCGCGGUAAUACGUAGGGGGCAAGCGUUGUUCGGAAUUACUGGGCGUAAAGGGCGUGUAGGCGGUGCGGUAAGUUGGACGUGAAAUCCCCGGGCUUAACCCGGGGCGGUCGUUCAAAACUGCCGUGCUGGAGUGUGGGAGAGGGAAGUGGAAUUCCCGGUGUAGCGGUGAAAUGCGUAGAUAUCGGGAAGAACACCUGUGGCGAAGGCGGCUUCCUGGCCCACAACUGACGCUGAGGCGCGAAAGCUAGGGGAGCAAACAGGAUUAGAUA